AUUGAACGCUGGCGGCAGGCUUAACACAUGCAAGUCGAGCGGAGAGAGGUAGCUUGCUACUGAUCUUAGCGGCGGACGGGUGAGUAAUGCUUAGGAAUCUGCCUAUUAGUGGGGGACAACAUUUCGAAAGGAAUGCUAAUACCGCAUACGUCCUACGGGAGAAAGCAGGGGAUCUUCGGACCUUGCGCUAAUAGAUGAGCCUAAGUCGGAUUAGCUAGUUGGUGGGGUAAUGGCUCACCUAGGCGACGAUCCGUAACUGGUCUGAGAGGAUGAUCAGUCACACUGGAACUGAGACACGGUCCAGAAUCCUACGGGAGGCAGCAGUGGGGAAUAUUGGCCAAUGGGCGAAAGCCUGAUCCAGCCAUGCCGCGUGUGUGAAGAAGGUCUUCGGAUUGUAAAGCACUUUAAGUUGGGAGGAAGGGCAGUAAGUUAAUACCUUGCUGUUUUGACGUUACCAACAGAAUAAGCACCGGCUAACUUCGUGCCAGCCGCCGCCGUAACAC
rnacentral:rRNA from 1 species